AUUGAACGCUGGCGGCAUGCCUUACACAUGCAAGUCGAACGGCAGCACGGACUUCGGUCUGGUGGCGAGUGGCGAACGGGUGAGUAAUGCAUCGGAACGUGCCAUUGAGUGGGGGAUAACGUAGCGAAAGUUGCGCUAAUACCGCAUAUUCUGUGAGCAGGAAAGCAGGGGACCGCAAGGCCUUGCGCUCUUUGAGCGGCCGAUGUCAGAUUAGCUAGUUGGUGAGGUAAAGGCUUACCAAGGCGACGAUCUGUAGCGGGUCUGAGAGGAUGAUCCGCCACACUGGAACUGAGACACGGUCCAGACUCCUACGGGAGGCAGCAGUGGGGAAUUUUGGACAAUGGGGGCAACCCUGAUCCAGCCAUGCCGCGUGAGUGAAGAAGGCCUUCGG
rnacentral:rRNA from 1 species